rnacentral:rRNA from 1 species
UACGGAGGAUCCGAGCGUUAUCCGGAUUUAUUGGGUUUAAAGGGAGCAUAGGCGGGAAGUCAAGUCAGUUGUGAAAUGUAGGCGCUCAACGCCUGCACUGCAGUUGAAACUGGUUUUCUUGAGUGCGUAAGGGGCAGGCGGAAUUCGUCGUGUAGCGGUGAAAUGCCUAGAUAUGACGAAGAACUCCGAUCGCGAAGGCAGCUUGCCGGGCUGCAACUGACGCUGAGGCUCGAAGGUGCGGGUAUCGAAC